AGCUUGUGACUUUUUCCCUUGUAACUCAGCCAUGAUCAUGGGAGGAGGCCCAAGCCGCCUGUGAAGAGGUCCAAGUGGAAAGGCACCGAGGUCCCUGACCCUCAGCCUUAGCUGAGCUCCCAGCUGACAGCCAGCACCAAUUCAUCAGCCCCCUACCCAUCAUCCUGAAAAUGGAUCCCUCAGCCCCAGUGGCACUGUAUUGAUUCAUACUCCAUGGCACAAAGAUGAGCUGAUUCCUGCUGAUGCUGCAAAUGUGUGAGCAGAGGCCUUGUUUAUGGUUUUCUGCUGCUGUACUUUGAGUGUUUUGUCGUACUGUGGUUUGAUUUGCUCACUGGAUAAGAACUUGGACCAAAAGCCA
rnacentral:lncRNA from 1 species